CCCAGUCCCAUCCCUCCCCCUCUAUUUCGCUUUUAAACUGCAGCUGUUGAAGCUAAACCUCCUUUGCAAAAAAAACCCCCAGCAUUUCCUCCCACUCCUCCGCGAAUUGUGGAUCAGCAUUUUCCUCUCCCAGCUGGAGCUCGGUCGGUAAGUUCGGCGAAGGGAUGGUCUCCUUAUUUGCAAAACCUGUAGCCCCAGGCUGGGUGGGCUGUGAUUCAAGCGACUGGAAAUGCAAAGCUCUGGGCAGCAGCAGCAGCAGAGGCUCUGAGGAGGAGCUGGAAGAAAGAGAGAGAAGCGUCUGAGGCAGCAGCAGCCCGUGGGAAAGUUGUGAACUUCUCCUACAGCCCGUGGUAGGAGGAACGUUGCUGCCUGGUCCCACUGACCAUCAGCCCAUGGAGGAGCUGGAUUUCAAGAGCUGAGCACCAGGGCACAAUUCCCAUCACAAGCCCUGCCACGGGUACCCAAACGGAGAGCACGCUCCAGCCUCAAACUUACUACCACGUAGUACAAGGGAGAAUGAAAUGAGCAUCUCCGAAUGAAAUAUCCAGUUGCUUCAGCAGCCUCCAGAAGGUGCUGAAAUACUUUGACAUUUCCAAGACUCUUUCACACUUUUCAAACAAGCUUGUCACAGUUUCUCGGAGCAUUAUGAAUCCGGUGAAACUGCAUAUUCUGCAACUCUCGUUUCGCUGGAGCUUGAGCCAGGUCUUGCUUCGACUUGGCUGGGUCUGGUGUUCUGGUCAACUAGGAAAUUGCAUUA